GCGGGGGGCACGCCUGCCGGGGGGGGGUUGUUUUUUUGGCAUGGAAACGACCCCCCCCUCCCAAAGGCUCCAAAAUGCCAAAAAAGCCAAAAAUUAAAAAAAAGCAUUGCAAAAAUAAAUAAAUAAAUAAACACAAUCUCCCCAAACGAAAUUGCAAAAAAAAAAAAUUAAAAAUUGCAAAAAAAAAAAAUCAUGAUAAAACCGGAGGGAAAUGUGGAAAACACCCCCCCCCCUCCGCGGUGCAAGCCGCACCCAGGCGGGGAGAAGGGCAGAAACCUGCUGCGUGCUGCCCUGCCAGCCUGGGGGGGGGUCCCAAACCCCUCCUUUCCCCCCCAGUUUUCUUUAUUUCUCCAAAGUUUGUGCAGUCUGGUUGCUGUGACCUGCGCUGCUUCAAGGGGGGGAGGGGGGGUUUGUUUUUUUCCCUCUUAAAAAAAGCAGAAUUGGAUCCGGCGCUAAAAAGAUUCCCUCUCUUUUUUUUCCUCCCCCCACCCCCGCCCGGAGGAUUUGAAAUCCCUUUUUUUGGGCGGGGGAAAUGGAUUCGUCUCGGUGUCUGGCUGGAAGCAGGAGCCGUUGGGAUGCCAAGGUAACAGAGCAAUGCAAAUAUUAAAAAAAGGCAAGAAUAAAAUCCUAGGAUGCUAAAUAAUAAUUACAAAGAAGCGAAAACCACUCAAAAGUGGAUGUUUGUCUGGACCGGUUUGAUCCAGAAAAUAAAACUGUCCUGGCGAACUUGACGUUUGGAUUAGGAGCGGAGCGUCCCGAUCCAUACGUUGUUGUUUAAAGCUGGAGGAGAGAUGACGGUGCAAAAAAGUGGAAGUCACGGGCGGCGUCGGACUUCUCAUCCCUUCAGCAGCGUUGAAGAAAAACUCUGGAGCCUGGAAACGCGACCGGAUUAUUACAGACAGUCUCGAGCGCAUUCCUAUUGAAACAGAAGUUAAAUUGUGUCCAAAGGGAGCCAUGUUUGCAGAACAAACUGAUGCAUCCUUGCAUCCAGUCAAGGUGAGUUGGGGACGUGAACUUAACAUCCCCUGACACUGGUGAAGCACCUCCAGGGUGGGAUCCCACGGGGUGCCGUCUCCACGUGGCAUUCCCAUUGAACUGAGCAUCCGGCUGCUAGGGUUGGGCACUGUACUUGGCGAGAGGAGCCAUUUUCCUCAAAGAGAUGGCUACUGAAAAUCCUUUGACAUUGGUUUGUAUACAAUUUAUUGAGAACCUAAAAUGGCAGGUGGCCGAUUUUUUGUUGUUGUUGUUGUUUGUUUUAAAAAAAAAAUGGUAAACUAUACUGCAAGAGAUGGUUUAAUCGUGUGCAUUUGAAUUGUUCUUUUGGCUUAAAUAGGUAUUGGUUAAAUUUCUCUCACAUAGACAUCAGGGCUGGAAGGGACCUCGGAAGAUCGUGGAGUCCAGCCCCCCGCCCCAGGGGCAGGAAGUCAGCACUGUAAUGUACUUACCUACUGCUCUCUCUCUUCCCCUCAUUUAAACCCCAAAGCAGAAUUGCCCCCCCCCACACACACCUCCCCCCACCCCUUUUUUUUACCUUCCUCUGGGGGGGGAUUGCUUUGAACUGCAGUAGCUUAGACCUGAGCUUGAAGGAUCCCCUUUUGAAAAGGCAGAAGUUAUUUGCUUUCGUGGUUUAGGUCACAGGGCCAGCCUGUGGCAUGGGCACCACAAGUGGCAGCCAGCCACAAAUGCCCUGGCAGAUCAGGGAGGGGACAGGCAGCGCAGUGGCAGAUGGGGCAGAAAGCAGAGCAGUAGAUCAGGCUCGGACUUGAAAGCAGAGAAGCAAAUCACACAGAGGAGGGAGAACAAGGGGAUCGGAGUAGAGCUUGGGAAGGGGGGGGUGCUAAUUUUGUGGCAUGCCUGCCGAAAAGGUCAUCCCCGGCUAGUUUAGGAUUUGACUUUUAUGCACAUCCCUGAGACCCUUAGUCUGACUGUCAUCUUAAAAGCAAAAUAGAGGUCUAGAACGAGGUUUGACAUAUUUGAAAUGAUUCACUCCUUAGAAAAGAAAAAUAACUAAGACAAUGGGUAGGACCAGUCAAGCUAAGCCUCAUUUAGGAAAAGAAAGUCUGGACAAGAAUAAAAAUGGGAUCUGUCUACCUGUAUGUGUAUAUGUAGGUUACUUGCUACUGAUAGCAGAAUAGCCUUCACCCUUUUUGAGUAUAUAGCAUGUGCAUUGCCGUGAGAACACAAAAUACACACAAAAAAAUCCCCCCAGACAUUUAUGUUUGCAUUAAUUCAGUACAGGCUAUUACAAUUUUUGACAUCCCAAUUCUUAAGUUAUGCUUUAAGAAAUAAAAAGGGUGGGGAACAGAUAAGCAGGACCCCACAGAGGUAUUUGGGGUGUUGGCACACAGGUGAUAGCAUAGGAGAUGUGUGAAGGGGGAGUUCUCUUACAGCUUGAAUUUGUAAUAUUCUUGUUGAAACACCAGAGGAAGGAGGAGGAAGAUAGCAUGAUCCCAUCUCAUCACAUGACUAGGAAAAAUCUCAAGGAUACACAGAAGUAUCAAGCUUACCUUCAUCACCUUUUAUGCCAGCAUAAACAGGGUAACUCCUCCUAAGGCUGCAGACUGGAAAGUCAAUCUAGAGAAUCAAAAAAACCAAAACACAUUAUUUUCUCUCCUUUCCUUCACAGGCAUUUUGUUCUCUGUCUACGUGGGCAGGGAAAGUACUGGAAUUGUGGGAAUUUUGAGGUUUGGGGGGAGGGGGGGAUUUCUUCUGUUCACAUUUAAAUGCAGAAGUUUUACAAAUCUGAAUGAGAUGGGUCUUAAUUGCCUAAGCACAGAAAAAGUCAUUUCCAAGUUCUGAAAUAAUCUGAAUUUGGACAAUCUCAAUUGGGAGAAAUCAGAGAAAGAGGAAAAUUCAACAUCUUGUGUGCUACCUAAGUAUUUCUGAUGGCAGGUCUUGCCCCUGGCGAAAUCCCUUUAGCAUUUAACCUGGCACCCAGCUGCCAAAAAACAGUCCUAGAGAAGUAGGGCUGGAAGGGCCAGCCCUCCAGCGGUCAUCUAGUCCAGCCCCCUGCCUAAGGCAGGAUCAGCCCCAUCCAAGCCAUCCCUUACAACUCUAAUGUAACCUGGCAGCGUUGUAUUGCCUCUAUUGCAAGGGGACGAAGUCCUGCACGAGGGAUUAGGACGCAGGCUGGCAAGCCUGAAAAUAUAGUGGGCUCCUGCAAGCCGACUAGGCGUAUUUUUGGGCAAAUAAAAUGCUCCCGCAUCUAACUUUUUGUUUUCAGGCAUGUUUGCAGUAGCUGUAUUCUUGUGUAAUGACUUGUUCUCUUAUAGUUUCAGACUGGUAGCACGUGAGUGAAGAACACACUGCCAACACGACAUUAUAAAUGCCUUCCUCUGAUCGUAGAGCGCUCUUCCAUCUUAUGGUUGUUUUAUUGUUUGUUUUUUCCCUCUUUCCAAAAACUAAACCAAAAAAAAAUAAUCAAAAUACCAUUUGGGAUUUCAACAUUCAUUGGGCUUUGAGGAGAUGUAGCAGCACAUCAUGGUUUGUAGGGACAAGGAGAUACAGACCAUUCUGGGCUGCCUCAUUACCUCAAGGAUAAGACAAGAAAUUGAGCUUCUGGGUAUCAUAGAGGUGGAAGCUAACACACGCUCACGUAUCUCUUAGGUCAGUUGAACCAGGUACGUGUGGAUCGGCUUGCUCUGCGCUUGCACGUGUGUGCGCUUUUCUUUCCAGCCUUGCCGAGAGACCAAGCGUUGCCUUUUCACGCCUCUUGGCCUGUUGCGAGGGGGCUUGGGGCUUUGCUGUCUGACCCGCAGAGAUUUCACUAGUUUCUUACCCCCCACCCCCCCCACCCCUCCCAUUGGCCAAGCGCUUGACCCUAAGGAGGAGGCAGGGUACAGCCUUGCUUCUGCCAUCUGCUCCAGGUAACCCUCUUUUUUUUUUUCCCCCCUUAUGGUGCAAUGCUUUCUCCCAUGUCUUAGCACCGGUGCUGGGACCGGACCGCCGGAGGGGGGCUCGGGAAGCGCGGGCCACCUCUCCAAGUGGACGUGUCAGCAGUGCUCUAGCAGCACGUAAAUACUGGAGUCGAGGACUGCCUGGCUGCUCUCCAGUAUUGCAUUGCUGCUUGAGUGAGGCUGGAUCUCGGUGCCUGCCGCAGGAGCCCACAAGCACCUCCGAGGGGGUGGGGGGGCGGCGUCUCUGGCCCUGCUGUAGCCCUCGUCGCAAUAAAGCCUGGCCCAAGAGGCAGAACCCGUGGUGUGCUGUGCUGUGCUGUGGUGUGGCGUGGCGUGGCGUGUGUGUGUACGGGUGCUCUUUGCAUGGGGGAGCAGCAGGGU